rnacentral:lncRNA from 1 species
GGAAAAUACACCGACACUUUGCUAUUCAAAGUGUGUGGUCCGUGGACCAGCAACAGCAGCCUCCCUGGGAGCGCGUUAGAAAUACAGACGCCAGGCCCCAGGCCAGACCGACCCCAUCAGGACCCGCAGUCCAGCGAGACCCCCGGGCGUUUCCCACGGACACUGAUGCACGCGGCUCUAAAUCUCGCUUGGGAACAAAUCCUUUCAACAGGAGGCGUCACAGAAGCGCCGCAGAAAGAGCGAGGGCGAGCCCCUCAGUUCGCAUCCUCAGCCUCACGGCGUCAGCAGAAUGGAGGGGCAGGCGUCUCAGUCCGUCUGUUGACCAAGGACAUCUGGGGAAGAGACAAGCCUCGGUUGCUCUCUGCUGUGGAGUCAUCGGCUUCUCAUCACUCCCGCCGGCGUGUUCCUCCAGCGCCGGCCUGGCCUCGCUCCGGGCAGGGGUCCCCGCGCGGUGUCCCCUGUCACAGCCCCCGCGGAGGGUGCGCGCGCAACGAGCCCCUGCCCUGCCCGGUCCUGAGGCGGUUCCUGUGCACUAGGGAAUCCAUUGUGGGGACGCACACACUCACACACACACACACACAUGCACACCCUUCUCCCAGGACAAACAUCGAUUCUCAGAGAAAGCACAAGCUAAAUCAAUGUUUUUCAAACUGUCAUUUAUGAACUUGUUCUCAAGAGCUCGUGAAAACAUUUUUCCCCUUUAAAAACGAAGACGGAGAAGGUUAGGAACACUGGUGUAAACCCAUAAGAAGGAGGAGAGCCCUCUCCGUAACUCGUCUCGGAAGCUUUCAAACUUGCCUAUCUCACAAUAGCAUUAUUUUUACCCGUUGCAGCGUCAGCUUCUAAGCGCUGCCCCAGCCCACCAUCAGAUGGACAUCCAUCCGCUCUCGGCUGCUUCUCCGGCCACCCGCGGCUUCAUCUCCCAGACUUGGAGCCAGCUGUGUCUGUCUCUCUCCGCCUCUCAACCUGCCUCACAAGGAGGGGCUGGAGGGUCGGCCGCCUGGGGACUGCCCACUGCGGCGGUGGUCUGGGACCUCGCUGUCCUUGGAGGCCCCUGGCGUCGUGUCGUCCCCUUUCCUGUCUGGGGUUGAAGUUGACUGAAGCACUGAUGGGUCCCUGAGGAAUUAGACUGGAGGGCAGAGAACCUUUUUCUUUCUGCGAUAUCUGGUUCAGAUGUUUGUAGAUAUUUUUCCAAAUUCUAAAAGAAAAUCGUCUUUUAGAAUUUGUGAUGUAGUGAAAGAAAUACAGGAGUGAUAUUUGUGAGACCUGACAGUGUGCCUCCUUUCUCAGCCUCGAGCCCCUUAACUAUAAAAUGAGCUGAAAUCCGUCACAGCGCUGAAAAAACAGUGUGUUGUUCUUAAAUAUAUAGCACGUGAUUUAUUUUAUGUUUUUUCGUACUACUUAUUUUUGAAAAUUUAUACUCUACCUUGUCUCAGAAUGGAUUUAAGGGGCUUUACAAGGAUACAUAAAAAAUAGCAAGAGAGCAUAAAUUAGAACUGUGUGAAGAACAAAAGGGGAAAACAAAGAGAGGGACAGAAGAUGGAGCCAGGCGGCAGCUCCACGUGCAGGCGGCCCUGGAUGUCUUGCCCUCCUGCUUCCGGAAAAUGUUGUACAUGGUCUACACCGGAUGAGAGCAUGCAGGGGAACGUCAAUAAGGCUCCCUGUAGGCAAGGCAACCGGGACUAGCGUCUAUCCCAAGUGUGGAGAGUCUUCUUGCUUCUGAGGACCACUGACCCACCAAAAAUUUAAUCAAGCACUUUGUAUAAGUCAAAGACAACUUAUUUAUUAGAAUUAUUUUGAAGAGUGAUAGAACAAUUGUUCUAUACAUUUCUUUUUUAAAUUAAGAAGAGGCACCUCUCAUAUAAAAAUAUUUAAUAAAUUAGCACACGUAGGAAUCA